AGCUCCUUCUCCUUCAUCUUCCUCCUCUUCUAGCUGCAAAUUUCUUCCACCAACACUCUCAAUUCACUCUCUAUUCACUCUCAAUUUCCAAAGCAAAUCAAGCUACUUUUGCGAAUCAACCGAUUUCAUCUAUGUUCCUUCAUUUUGCUUCCUUGUUUCGAGGUUUUGGCACAGAUCUAUUACUGCAAAAUCCACUCUAAUCGAUUAAUCAAAAUUUGCGAUUUUGUUUUUUUUUCUCGAGAAUUGGCGAUGGUUUCGUGCGAUUUCUGCGGCGAGCGGCAGGCGGUGCUCUACUGCCGCGCGGACAGCGCGAAGCUCUGCCUGUCGUGCGACCACCACGUGCACUGCGCGAACGCGCUCUCGAAGAAGCAUCUCCGCUCCCAGAUCUGCGACAACUGCGCCGCGGAGCCGGCGUCGUUCAGCUGCUCCACCGACGGGCUCGUGCUCUGCCAGGACUGCGACUGGGACGCGCACGGCAGCCGCCUCGUGGCCGCGGCGCACGAUCGGUGCCCCGUCGACAGCUUCUCGGGAGUUCCGUCGGCGUUCGAGCUGGCCGCGGCCUGGGGGCUGGAGAUUGAGGAGAAGAAGCCGGCGGAGUACGAGUGGGGAGGGCUGCUGGAUGAGCUCAUGGUGCCGAACGCUAGCUCGGUGAUUUAUUCCGACUGCGGCGGCGAAUUGGUGAAGAAGAAGAGGAAUCCGAGCUGCGGGAAGCAGAAGCAGGUGAUUCUCAAGCAGCUGAUUGAACUUUUAGCGGACGGCGGCGGCGGCGGUGGAGAUGGGGAGGAUGUAGGGCCGGGGACGCCGAGCGGCGGCGCGUGGCGGCAGGAGAGUUUUUGCGGACAAUUUGAAGAGCAACCGCAACAGCAACAGCAACCGCAAGCGCAAGACGAAAAGCAGCAGGAAUUGGCGCAGGGCGGAGGGUUUACGUCGUUGCUAAUGAUGCAGACGCCGGCCAAUCAGAAGGAGGAACGCAACAUGUUGUGGAACACCACCACCGCAUGUGAUCACAGCGCGCAGAUAUGGGACUUCAAUCUGGGACAAUUGAGGGGCCAUGAGGAGUCUAGCCCUGUUGAGCUAGAAUUUGGCGGGAACAACAUGUACACUAUGAAAAGUUAUGGGGAGCUACUGAAAGAAUCAUCCCUGGCCAAGAGAAGAGGGGUGGACGUCUCUGGAGUGAACUGUUCUAUUGCCCAGGAAGAUAAUAUAAUCCCCUUUAACAGUGCCACCGAUAACCGGACACCAAGUCAGGGGCCUGCUACAUCAGAGAGCAAUAAUGUACCUGCAUCAAGGCCCGAAUCCGGUUCCAUGGAUAUUCAGUUCAUGAGUCAGUCUAUUCUAAUGACAAAUGAAAGUGCGGCUGCUAUGUCAAAGAGUGACAUCGAGCUUAUGGCAAAGAAUAGAGGCAAUGCUAUGCAACGAUACCAGGAAAAGAAGAAAACAAGGAGAUACGACAAGCAUAUAAGAUAUGAAUCAAGAAAAGCAAGAGCUGAUACUAGGAAGCGAGUGAAGGGCCGAUUCGUCAAAGCUCAAGAAGCACCAGCUGGAUGAGUAGUGUUCAUAGUUGACAUCUAAUUUUCUUAAUUAAUGCAGAUACAGGAAGCCUAUUUCUGCAUUUAGUCGAACGGCGUCGGCAUGGGUUUGGAGGUAGAGGAGAGGAUGAAGGAGAUGCCAUUGUAUCUUGUCAACAACUUUAUAGGAGUGAAGAUGAAGAAAGGGUUGAUAAACUUGUGCAAUGGAGAGAGCUCCGCCUCUGUUCUUGAUGCCCGAUCGGCUUGCUUGGCCGAGGGAGAAAGAGAGAGAGAAAGGGGGAGAGGGAGAGAAAGGCAGCCAACUUUGGAGGAGAUGAUCCUGCAGUUGGAGAUGGAGGAGAAGAUGAGCAGGAGGAGCAAGGUAGAAGCGCACAGGAUGUCGUGUGUGAGCAGCUGCGACAUUCUUAGAAGCGCGAGGAAGGCGCUGGAUCAGUAUCCCCGAUUCUCUCUGGACGGGAAGGACGCCAUGUACCGGUCAUCCUUCACGGGGGAGAUGGAGGCGGAGAAGAGGCGGAGGCGGCUGCCAGCGGUGGUGGGAGGGGAGAGCGUUAUCUGGUGCAAACCCGGGGUGGUGGGGAGGCUCAUGGGGCUGGACGCCAUGCCGGUCCCCUUGAAUACGAACUAUAGGAGGGAGAGGCUGAGCGCUAUCAUGAGGCAGCAGAAGGAGGCGGAGGCCGAGCGCCGGUGGCGGCGGAGAGGGGUGGUGGGGUCUUGCUCCAGAGCUGGAUAUUGUGUUGUCAAACCAAAUAGUGAAGGAUUGCUUCAUCACAAGAGAUGGAAGGGAUAGUGUUGUUGUUUCAUUUGUAUCAUGCUAACUCAAUUCAAUAUCUAGAUGAUAGAAAUCCAACUUAGUUAUUAAGACGUUUCUCUUAAUUA